rnacentral:rRNA from 1 species
UGACCCCUACGGGGCGCAGCAGUGGGGAAUAUUGGGCAAUGGGCGCAAGCCUGACCCAGCAACGCCGCGUGAAGGAAGAGGGCUUUCGGGUUGUAAACUUCUUUUCUCAGGGACGAAGCAAGUGACGGUACCUGAGGAAUAAGCCACGGCUAACUACGUGCCAGCAGCCGCGGUAAUACGUAGGUGGCAAGCGUUAUCCGGAUUUACUGGGUGUAAAGGGCGUGUAGGCGGGGACGCAAGUCAGAUGGGAAAACCACGGGCUCAACCUGUGGCCUGCAUUUGAAACUGAGUUUCUUGAGUACUGG